rnacentral:rRNA from 1 species
UACGUAGGGACCGAGCGUUGUCCGGAAUCAUUGGGCGUAAAGAGCGUGUAGGCGGCCCCUUAAGUCCUGCGUGAAAUCCUGCGGCUCAACCGCAGACGGUCGUGGGAAACUGGAGGGCUAGAGUGCGGGAGAGGAGAGUGGAAUUCCUGGUGUAGCGGUGAAAUGCGCAGAUAUCAGGAAGAACACCAUGGCGAAGGCAGCUCUCUGGGACGGUACUGACGCUGAGACGCGAAAGCGUGGGGAGCGAACAGG